GUAGGAGAACAGACCUGGAGGGGGGUUACAGUGAGAUUAUUAAUCGAAAUCAGACGUCGGGAGGUUGAAAUCGUCAAGUGUGAAGAGUGGUGAUCCAUCGCCAGGGUAUUAGCUUAUCAAGGUGUUAAGUUUAGCUUGGGUGGACAAGAGACAGUGACAGUACUGAAUUCAAAUGAAGAGAUGAACAGGUGAGAUUGGAGAUGAACAGGUGUUAUUGGAGAUGAACAGGUGAGAUUGGAGAUGGACAGGUGAGAUUGGAGAUGGACAGGUAGGAUUGGAGAUGGACAGGUGAGAUUGGAGAUGGACAGGUGAGAGAGGAGAUGAACAGGUGAGAUUGGAGAUGGACAGGUGAGAUUGGAGAUGGACAGGUAAGAUUGGAGAUGGACAGGUGAGAUUGGAGAUGGACAGGUGAGAUUGGAGAUGGACAGGUAAGAUUGGAGAUGGACAGGUGUAUUGGAGAUGGACAGGUGAGAUUGGAGAUGGACAGGUGGGAUUGGAGAUAGACAGGUAAGAUUGGAGAUGGACAGGUGCAAGAGGGAGAAAAGAGAACAUCUCC
rnacentral:lncRNA from 1 species